rfam:Citrus clementina cultivar Clemenules unplaced genomic scaffold scaffold_4, whole genome shotgun sequence.
GAGAGAGUCUGUCAGCUUAGCCAAGGUGACUGCCCGAAACCAACAUAAAAGUUUGUAACCAUUUAUAUUCGUAGAGGAAGAAUCAAUGAGUUAAUCCACACUCAAUUAGAAGGAGCGGGCAAGUCAUUCUUGGCUAUCAGACAAAACUCCAAUCU